AACAGUUCCGCAAGCGGGGAUGUUAAUUGUCUGCUUUCCCCGUAGCACCGCUCUUUCUGGGUGACUACAUCUCAAAGUCUCAUUUUAUCUCUCCUAAAAUAUACCCCGUUUUGCUAUCCAUCCGCACACUCUAUAUUUUGUCAACUUGGUAAUGCAAGUGGAAAUUCAGACUCACUGAUUUACAACAGUUCCUUAAAAAGACGGCUUGUAUAUACACCUCCCGCCUCUCCAGGACGCUCGUCGACCGAUCGUGCUAACGAUGGCCCGUUGGAUCGCUCAGUCCGAAACCUACCUUCCGCCAGUCUCCUUGGAGAGCCUCGCCCUCCCCGGGGAUUUUCUAAUUGGCGAUUUUUACUGCGACUCUAACCAGAGCAUCGAGAAGACGCUGCGACCUAUAUAAUCCUACCUCUAUAAUCGCCGUCCUCAAUCUAGUCUGAAUAAUUCCGAUGUGACUCCCAUCAAGUGUCCGCUUAUUCCACGAGACGAAGGUUUUCGGUGAUGCCUGUCGUCUGGAGUUGGAAUUCUUCCGCCUGGGUGAAAGGAUAUUAGAGGCUUGACGAGAAACCGUUCGGAAAACAGGAGGCCUUGUGGUGAUCUCGGAGAGGAAAAAAACAUGAACGGCGAGGGAGAGGGGAACAAAUAUACUGGAAUGAGGAGGUGUGAGGCGGAAUAAAGAUUUUCCUUUUGGUCCCCCGGAAGCCCGAGAGGGGCCGUACCUCCUUGCGUUGGUUCGUUCUCGCGGCUGUUCAUUCAGAGAGAAAAUGACUGACAUUGAUCGAGACUUCCCAUCGGCGAACCUGUUGGAACACGAGAAGACCCCGACACUCAUUACCACGGAGAGGGAGGCCAGAAAUGAUCCAGACAAUUAGUUGACAAGAUACGGGAUUAGCUAGUAACCGAAGAGCAGCGAGACCGUGUGCGUUCAAAGACGGUCUUUGACCGGAAAGGCCAGAGCGGUGAGGUGAAGGCAAAGAGAGGCAGGAGGGCGGACGUUCAAAGCCUACGGGAAGAGCGGAUCUCCGGGGCAUCUUCUUUCGUCCAAAUCGCAGGAUGCCGCCUCCCUCCGAACGUCGGAUCGACGCUCGCAGACAGAUGCCGGAGGAUGAUGAAGGCGUGUCUCGGGAAGGUGAAAUUCGACUUCGGCCCGGGGCCCUGGCGGGACCGGCUCAGCUGCCGGACUGCCGCAGACAGCCGCGGUGCCCACCACUCCUCCUCCGCGGAGGGGCAGGCCGAGGAUGGAGGGAGGGGCUGGCUGGAUGCUGUCGAGCUCGGAGCGCCUCUCCGCACCUCGCCGCCUCUGGAGAGAGCGUGAGACCGCGAGUCGGGAAGCCUGGGUUCUAAUCCCGGCUCUGCCGGGCGACCUGGGGCAAGUCGCGUCGCCGCUCUGGUCCUCAUUUCCCCUUCUGUAAAACUGAGGUGAAACAACUGGUCCCGCCUCCCCCUUAGACUGCGAGUUCUAGACUCCCCCAUUAGACCGUGAGCCCGUCAGUGG